rnacentral:rRNA from 1 species
AUUAGAUACCCCAAUAGUCAAAGCAGAAAAUGAUGAAUGUCAUAGAUUAGAUAAACAAUUUAUUCUAUAAAUGAAAGUGUAAGCAUUCCACCUCAAGAGUAAUUUGGCAACAUUGGAACUGAAAUCAUUAGACCGUUUCUGAAACCAGUAGUGAAGUAUGUUGUUUAAUUUGAUAAUACGCAAAAAACCUUACCACAAUUUGAAUAUUUAUAUAUAUCUUUUAUUGGUUUUUACUAAUAUAUUUGUAGACAAUUAAAAUGAUGCUUAUACCCCGUUUGUGAGAUUAAGCAUCAAAAAAGAUAAUAUAUUUACAAGCGUUGCACGGCUGUCUUCAGUUAAUGUCGUGAGAUUUUGGUUAGUUCCAUUAAAUUAACGUAAACCCUUACUUUAUUUUUAUAUAAAGUAGUUCUCCGCUAUAUUGGAUAUGAUAACAGGGACUAAGACAAG